AGCAAGUCGACCAAAGGCGAAAGCAGUCAUCAAGGGCACGCCCGUUGAUCAAGAGCGAAAGUUAAGGGUUCGAAGACGAUCAGAUACCGUCGUAGUCUUAACUAUAAAUGAUACAGUCCAGAGAUAGGACACUGUCCAUCUCGACUCCUCCUGAAUCUUGGAGAAAUCAGAGUCUUUGGGUUCUGGGGGGAGUAUGGUCGCAAGGCUGAAACUUAAAGGAAUUGACGGAAGGGCACACAAAGAGUGGAACCUGCGGCUUAGUU
rnacentral:rRNA from 1 species